rnacentral:rRNA from 1 species
CAACUACGCCUGCAUGAAGUCGGAAUUGCUAGUAAUCGCAGAUCAGCAUGCUGCGGUGAAUACGUUCCCGGGCCUUGUACACACCGCCCGUCACACCAUGGGAGUCGGUAACACCCGAAGUCGGUAGCCUAACCGUAAGGAGGGCGCCGCCGAAGGUGGGGAUUGAUGACUGGGGUGAAGUCGUAACAAGGUAGC